UACGGAGGGGGCUAGCGUUGUUCGGAAUUACUGGGCGUAAAGCGCGCGUAGGCGGACCUGCAAGUCGGGGGUGAAAGCCCGAGGCUCAACCUCGGAACUGCCUUCGAUACUGCGGGUCUCGAGUCCGGGAGAGGUGAGUGGAAUUCCUAGUGUAGAGGUGAAAUUCGUAGAUAUUAGGAAGAACACCAGUGGCGAAGGCGGCUCACUGGCCCGGUACUGACGCUAAGGCGCGACAGCGUGGGGAGCAAACAGG
rnacentral:rRNA from 1 species